rnacentral:rRNA from 1 species
UACGUAGGGUGCAAGCGUUAAUCGGAAUUACUGGCGUAAAGGCGUGACGCAGGCGGUGAUGUAAGACAGAUGUGAAAUCCCCGGGCUCAACCUGGGAACUGCAUUUGUGACUGCAUCGCUAGAGUACGGCAGAGGGGGGAUGGAAUUCCGCGUGUAGCAGUGAAAUGCGUAGAUAUGCGGAGGAACACCGAUGGCGAAGGCA